rnacentral:rRNA from 1 species
GAUGAACGCUAGCGGGAGGCCUAACACAUGCAAGCCGAGCGGUAUUGUUUCUUCGGAAAUGAGAGAGCGGCGUACGGGUGCGUAACACGUGUGCAACCUGCCUUUAUCUGGGGGAGAGCCUUUCGAAAGGAAGAUUAAUACUCCAUAAUAUAUUGAACGGCAUCGUUUAAUAUUGAAAGCUCAGGCGGAUAGAGAUGGGCACGCGCAAGAUUGGCUAGUUGGUGAGGUAACGGCUCACCAAGGCGAUGAUCUUUAGGGGGCCUGAGAGGGUGAUCCCCCACACUGGUACUGAGACACGGACCAGACUCCUACGGGAGGCAGCAGUGAGGAAUAUUGGUCGAUGGGUGCAAGCCUGAACCAGCCAUCCCGCGUGAAGGACGACUGCCCUAUGGGUUGUAAACUUCUUUUGUAUAGGGAUAAACCUACCCUCGUGAGGGUAGCUGAAGGUACUAUACGAAUAAGCACCGGCUAACUCCGUGCCAGCCGCCGCAGUAA